rnacentral:lncRNA from 1 species
AAAACAGCUUGGAAAUAUCCAGAAUAGAUAAAUCCACACAGAGAGAAAACAGAGAGAAAUACCCAGAAUAGAUAAAUCCACAGAGAGAGAAAACAGCUUGGAAAUAUCCAGAAUAGAUAAAUCCACAGACAGAGAAAACAGAGAGAAAUAUCCAGAAUAGAUAAAUCCACAGAGAGAGAAAACAACUUGGAAAUAUCCAGAAUAGAUAAAUCCACAGUGAGAGAAAACAGUCCCAGUAGUUAUCAGGGACUGGAGAGAGGGAAGAAUGAGAAGUGACUACUUCAUGGAUACAAGGUUUUCUCUGGGGGUGAUGAAAAUAUUUUGACAUCUGAUAAAGGUGGUGGUAGUACAGCACUGUGAAUGUACCAAUUGCCACUGAAUUGUGCAUUUUAAAGUGAUUGAUUUUAUGUGGAACAAAUUUCACUUUAAUUAUAAAAAGUGAAUAAACUUUUAGAAGCUAACCUUGGAAGAAGGUAGAGACUGGAAGGGAUCACAAGAAAGGCUUCUGGGAUGUUGGAAAACAGAUGGAAUCAUGUUACAGGAGAAUCCAAAGCAGAUGGGACGAAGGAAAAAAGAAGCAGAAUAUGCAAAGGAGACACAAGCAAUUUCAGAGCAGGAGGACAACCUUAGCUCUUUGGGAUGAAAAUGAAGAACAGCUGAGACAGUCACGCCUCUUCUCUUAAAAAUAGCUAAUAAACAUAUGAAACCAUAUCAAAUUUUCAUCAUACUUGGAGAAAUCUAAAGUAAAACUAGAUGCCAUUUAUCACCUCCUAAAUUGUUGACAUUGAAAAAAUAUGUUUAAUAGUGUUAGAGAGAAUUCAUUCAUUCACAGUACUAAUGUAAAUUGGCACACACUUUAGAGAGCUAUUUAAUGAUAUGGAUCUAAAAUGAGUGUUGUGUUCUUUACCUUGGCCAAUUACUUUAAUUGAACAUUAUAAACAGAUUUAAAGAAGUUUGCAAAGAACCAGACAUGAGUUAGUCACUUGUAAAUUUUAUAUAGUAGUAAAAAAUAUAUUUAAAAAUAUUAUUUACCAUAGGGGACUAGUUAAACAAAUGAUGGAGAAUCCAUCUAAUAAGAUCUGUUUCUUGCAUAUCAUUCAAGCUUAAUAAUAGAAUACUGUCAUUUCCAGAUAGCCAUCUUAUUUUAUUUUUGAGAAAUUGUCAUGUUAAAAUUUAUAAUUUCUAACAUGCACAGAUACUAAGCAUUGAAAAAGAGGUAGGAAUAUCGGAACAAUUCUAACGGUUUUUCAUCCCUUGCUCAGAAAUGACAGAAAAUGUUGUGAUAAUAAUAACAAGGCUAAGAACAUAUAUGGAGUUAUGCCAUACUUAUGCCAUCAUUAAUUUAUAUAAUACUUUAACAAUAUUCUGAUGUUGGUACAUGCAUUCUUAACUGUGUCAUAGAGUAAAAAAUGUGGCUAUUUAGUAUAAUAUCAAUUGUGUGUAAAUUGGAUGGAACUGGAUUAAUAGAGAAAUAAAAACAGUUGAAAAUACAAAAAGAAAACCCAAAGUCUUCAUCAUAGACAAGAAAAAUCUCCACUCCAUAUUCAGCAAACAUAAAUGUAAAUGGCAAAGUAAAACAGGAAGUUCUUUAGCAACCUUCGAG